AUAUUAUGAGUUAAUGUCCUAAAAGUUGAGAUGUUACACGGGCCCUGUGCCCUCAUCUAUGGAGUGUGUCCUAAGGAACUUUGGGAUUGUGCCAGACUAUUACAAGGGAUCUCAACAUUGUUUUCCUCCUACAUUAUCAUGUACGGAUGUUGAUAUAGUGUUUGAGCACUACCUACAACAUUUGGUUCCAAAGGCAAUAUGAA
rnacentral:lncRNA from 1 species